AGCAUGUUAGCUCAGGGGAAGAGCGCCGGGCUCAUAACCCGGAGGUACGUCUUAACUUCUUCUCAAGUUUAAAACAGCAAAAUUCUAACAGUAACCAGGUCCCUGGAUCGAAACCAGGACAUGCUA